UCAAGCUAGAAAGAGCGCAAGGGGAAUGCCUUGGCAUCAGGAGCCGAUGAAGGACGCGACAAGCUGCGAUAAGCUUCGGGGAGCUGCAAAUAAGCAUUGAUCCGGAGAUUUCCGAAUGGGGAAACCCGGCACGGCAAUACCGUGUCAGCGUGCACUGAAUCAAAUAGGUGUACGUGGGGAACCGCCUGAACUGAAACAUCUAAGUAGGGCGAGGAAAAGACAUCAACCGAGAUUCCGCAAGUAGUGGCGAGCGAACGCGGAAGAGGCCAAACCAGAGGUCAUUGAUCUCUGGGGUAUGGACUUGCAUCAUGAUCAGAGGUAUCUAGUCGAAUGGCGUGGGAAAGCCAACCACAGAGGGUGAGAGUCCCGUAGACGAAAGAGAAGACUGACAGCGAGUAUCCAGAGUACCGCCGGACACGUGAAACCCGGUGGGAACAUGGGAGGACCACCUUCCAAGCCUAAAUACUACCUGAUGACCGAUAGUGGAGCAGUACCGUGAGGGAAAGGUGAAAAGAACCCCGGGAGGGGAGUGAAAUAGUACCUGAAACCUUGUGCUUACAAGCAGUCAGAGCACGUUAAAGUGUGAUGGCGUACCUUUUGUAGAAUGGUCCGGCGAGUUAUAGUCACUGGCGAGGUUAAGCAAUUCAGUUGUGGAGCCGAAGGGAAACCGAGUCUUAAUAGGGCGUCGAGUCAGUGGCCAUAGACCUGAAACCGGGUGACCUAUCCAUGAGCAGGUUGAAGUUGGUGUAAAAACCAAUGGAGGACCGAACCCACGUUCGUUGCAAUGACCGGGGAUGACUUGUGGAUAGCGGAGAAAUUCCAAUCGAACUCGGAGAUAGCUGGUUCUCCCCGAAAUAGCUUUAGGGCUAGCGUUGUGUUAGUUUACCGGAGGUAGAGCACUGAAUAGGCUAGGGGGCGAUGAGCUUACUGAACCUUAUCAAACUUCGAAUGCCGGAUAAAUGGUGCACAGCAGUCAGACAGUGUGAGAUAAGUUUCAUUGUCAAGAGGGAAACAGCCCAGACCCACAGCUAAGGUCCCAAAUGAACGCUAAGUGGAAAACGAUGUGGGGUUGCAGAAACAACCAGGAUGUUGGCUUAGAGGCAGCCACUCAUUAAAAGAGUGCGUAAUAGCUCACUGGUCGAGUGACCCUGCGCGGAAAAUAUAACGGGGCUAAGCGUCCAACCGAAGCUUGGGAUGUCUUAAUGACAUGGUAGGGGAGCGUCGUGUACGGGGUGAAGCAUGAGCGAGAGCACAUGUGGACUUUACACGAGUGAGAAUGCCGGAAUGAGUAGCGAGAAUUAUGUGGGAAUCAUAAUGGCCGAAAAUCUAAGGUUUCUUGGGGAAGGUUCGUCCGCCCAAGGUAAGCCGGGAGCUAAGGCGAGGCCGAAAGGCGUAGUCGAUGCACAUACGGUUGAAAUUCCGUAGCCGCCGAAAUUGUUAAGCACAGGGACACAUAGAGAUAUCCGAACCCGGGCGUUGGUUGACCCGGGCGCAAGGGACCGAACAUCAGUAGGGAAGUCGGAGAUGCUCUGUGGCGAGAAAAGCUGUGCGUAUUGAUUAGGCGCCCGUACCGCAAACCGACACAGGUAGAUGAGGAGAGAAUCCUAAGGCCAACGGGAGAAGGGUUGUUAAGGAACUCGGCAAAUUGACCCCGUAACUUCGGGAUAAGGGGAGCCUCCUACGGGAGGCCGCAGUGAAUAGGCCCAAGCAACUGUUUACCAAAAACACAGGUCUCUGCUAAAUCGAAAGAUGACGUAUAGGGGCUGACGCCUGCCCGGUGCCGGAAGGUUAAGAGGAGAGCUUAGCGCAAGCGAAGGUUCGAAUUGAAGCCCCGGUAAACGGCGGCCGUAACUAUAACGGUCCUAAGGUAGCGAAAUUCCUUGUCAGGUAAGUUCUGACCCGCACGAAUGGCGUAAUGAUUUGGGCACUGUCUCAACAGCCCGCCCGGCGAAA
rnacentral:rRNA from 1 species